UACAGAGGUCUCAAGCGUUGUUCGGAUUCAUUGGGCGUAAAGGGUGCGUAGGCGGCGCGGUAAGUCGGGUGUGAAAUCGUCGGGGCUUAACUCCGAAACUGCAUUCGAUACUGCCGUGCUUUGAGGACUGGAGAGGAGACUGGAAUUUACGGUGUAGCGGUGAAAUGCGUAGAUAUCGUAAGGAAGACCAGUGGCGAAGGCGGGUCUCUGGACAGUUCCCUGA
rnacentral:rRNA from 1 species